rnacentral:rRNA from 1 species
AGAGUUUGAUCCUGGCUCAGAAUCAACGCUGGCGGCGCGCUUAACACAUGCAAGUCGAACGAGAAAGGGGAGCAAUCCCUGAGUACAGUGGCGUACGGGUGAGUAACACGUGGAUGAUCUACCCCUUAGUGAGGAAUAGCGCUGGGAAACCGGCGCUAAUACCGCAUAAGCUCGAGAGAGGAAAGCAGCAAUGCGCUGAGGGAGGAGUCCGCGGCCGAUUAGCUAGUUGGCAGGGUAAAAGCCUACCAAGGCAGAGAUCGGUAGCCGGCCUGAGAGGGCACACGGCCACACUGGCACUGAAACACGGGCCAGACUCCUACGGGAGGCAGCAGUGGGGAAUCUUGCACAAUGGGGGCAACCCUGAUGCAGCGACGCCGCGUGAGCGAUGAAGCCCUUCGGGGUGUAAAGCUCUUUCGGCAGGGAAGAUAAUGACGGUACCUGCAGAAGCAGCUGCGGCUAACUACGUGCCAGCAGCCGCGGUAAUACGUAGGCAGCGAGCGUUGUUCGGAGUUACUGGGCGUAAAGGGUGUGUAGGCGGUUGUUUAAGUUUGGUGUGAAAUCUCCCGGCUCAACUGGGAGGGUGCGCCGAAUACUGAAUGACUAGAGUGCGGGAGAGGAAAGUGGAAUUCCUGGUGUAGCGGUGAAAUGCGUAGAUAUCAGGAGGAACACCGGUGGUGUAGACGGCUUUCUGGACCGUAACUGACGCUGAGACACGAAAGCGUAGUAGCAAACAGGAUUAGAUACCCUGGUAGUCC